CAGGGAGACAACAAAAUGUUUAAUAUUAUUAUUUUGUCACCUUAGGUCGAUCGGUAUCUCACGUUCUUAAUUUGUUAAGAAUUUCAUUUCCUAAGUUUUUCUAGGUCACACCCAUAUUUUUCCUGGGCCAUUAGCUCAGGUGGUUAGAGCGCACCCCUGAUAAGGGUGAGGUCCCUGGUUCAAGUCCAGGAUGGCCCAUAUCUCUAUGUUGGGGGUAUAGCUCAGUUGGUAGAGCGCCUGCUUUGCAAGCAGGAUGUCAGCGGUUCGAGUCCGCUUACCUCCACUGAUUACCACCUCUUCCAUAACUGGUAGAAAGGAAAUGUUUUGAGUUGUGAUCAUUAUUCUGAACGAAUCUAGCUUCCUAAUGAAAUCAUUAAGAUGCUGGACUCAUUGAAUUAAUUUCAUUGUUUUCAGAGAACCUUGACAACUGCAUAGAUUUUUUUAAAGACAAUAAGCAUCUUUAAUGAUGCAGAUUUAUUAUUUGUGCGAAUGCAUUAAUAACAAUUCUAUUAAGCUGAUGCUUCAAUUUUUGAAGUUAUU
rnacentral:tRNA from 1 species